CUUUUGGGUGUGACUGCGUACCUUUUGUAUAAUGGGUCAGCGACUUAUAUUCUGUAGCAAGGUUAACCGAAUAGGGGAGCCGGAGGGAAACCGAGUCUUAAUUGGGCGUUAAGUUGCAGGGUAUAGACCCGAAACCCGGUGAUCUAGCCAUGGGCAGGUUGAAGGUUGGGUAACACUAACUGGAGGACCGAACCGACUAAUGUUGAAAAAUUAGCGGAUGACCUGUGGCUGGGGGUGAAAGGCCAAUCAAACCGGGAGAUAGCUGGUUCUCCCCGAAAGCUAUUUAGGUAGCGCCUCGUGAAUUCAUCUCCGGGGGUAGAGCACUGUUUCGGCUAGGGGGCCAUCCCGGCUUACCAACCCGAUGCAAACUGCGAAUACCGGAGAAUGUUAUCACGGGAGACACACGGCGGGUGCUAACGUCCGUCGUGAAGAGGGAAACAACCCAGACCGCCAGCUAAGGUCCCAAAGUCAUGGUUAAGUGGGAAACGAUGUGGGAAGGCCCAGACAGCCAGGAUGUUGGCUUAGAAGCAGCCAUCAUUUAAAGAAAGCGUAAUAGCUCACUGGUCGAGUCGGCCUGCGCGGAAGAUGUAACGGGGCUAAACCAUGCAC
rnacentral:rRNA from 1 species